rnacentral:rRNA from 1 species
GACUACAGGGGUAUCUAAUCCUGUUUGCUCCCCACGCUUUCGUGCUUUAGCGUCAAUAGUGGACCAGAGGACCGCCUUCGCCACUGGUGUUCUUUCUGAUAUCUACGCAUUUCACUGCUACACCAGAAAUUCCAUCCUCCUCUUCCACAUUCAAGCCUUGCAGUAUCAAAAGCAGUUCCAGAGUUAAGCUCUAGGAUUUCACUUCUGACUUACAAAACCGCCUGAGCACCCUUUACACCCAGUAAAUCCGGACAACGUUUGCCCCCUACGUAUUACCGCGGCUGCUGGCACGUAGUUAGCCGGGGCUUACUUUUGAGGUACCAUCAUAUUCCACAGAGUGGAAAUUUUUUCCCUCACUACAGAGGUUUACGAGCAAAAGCCCUUCAUCCCUCACGCGGCGUUGCUGCUUCAGGAUUUCUCCCAUUGAGCAAUAUUCCUUACUGCAGCCCCCCGUAGG